rnacentral:snRNA from 1 species
GUGCUCGCUUCAGCAGCACGUAUACUAAAAUUGGAAUGAUACAGAGAAAAUUAGCAUGGCCCCCUGUGCAAAGAUGACAAUUUUUUUUUUUUUUUUUUUU